CGGGGAAAAUCCUUCCCGCAAUGGGGCGAAAGCCUGAUGGAGCAACGCCGCGUGAGCCCUUUAAGGUUUUCGGAUCGUAAAACUCUGUUGUAAGGGAAGAACAUUUUCAGUAGUAACUGGCUGUACCUUGACGGUACCUUAUUAAAAAGCCACGGCUAACUACGUGCCAGCAGCCGCGGUAUUACGUAGGUGGCAAGCGUUGUCCGGAAUUAUUGGGCGUAAAGCGCGCGCAGGCGGUCCUUUAAGUCUGAUGUGAACCCCACCGCUCAACCGUGGAGGGUCAUUGGAAACUGGGGGACUUGAGUGCAGAAGAGGAAAGUGGAUUUCCUAGUGUUUUGGUGAAAUGCGUACAGAUUGUGAGGAACAUCUUUGGCGAAGGCCACUUUCGGGUCUUUAACUGACACUGAGGCCCUAAUUUUUGGGGAGCAAAAUAAACUU
rnacentral:rRNA from 1 species